rnacentral:rRNA from 1 species
UACGGGGGGGGCAAGCGUUGUUCGGAAUUACUGGGCGUAAAGGGCUCGUAGGCGGCCAACUAAGUCAGACGUGAAAUCCCCAGGCUUAACCUGGGAACUGCGUCUGAUACUGGAUGGCUUGAAUUCGGGAGAGGGAUGCAGAAUUCCAGGUGUAGCGGUGAAAUGCGUAGAUAUCUGGAGGAAUACCGGUGGCGAAGGCGGCAUCCUGGACCGACAUUGACGCUGAUGAGCGAAAGCUAGGGGAGCGAACGGG